GACGAACGCUGGCGGCGUGCUUAACACAUGCAAGUCGAACGGAAAGGCCCUGCUUUUGUGGGGUGCUCGAGUGGCGAACGGGUGAGUAACACGUGAGUAACCUGCCCUUGACUUUGGGAUAACUUCAGGAAACUGGGGCUAAUACCGGAUAGGAGCUCCUGCUGCAUGGUGGGGGUUGGAAAGUUUCGGCGGUUGGGGAUGGACUCGCGGCUUAUCAGCUUGUUGGUGGGGUAGUGGCUUACCAAGGCUUUGACGGGUAGCCGGCCUGAGAGGGUGACCGGCCACAUUGGGACUGAGAUACGGCCCAGACUCCAACGGGAGGCAGCAGUGGGGAAUAUGGCACAAUGGCGGAAGCCUGAUGCAGCAACGCCGCGUGCGGGAUGACGGCCUUCGGGUUGUAAACCGCUUUCGCCUGUGACGAAGCGUGAGUGACGGUAAUGGGUAAAGAAGCACCGGCUAACUACGUG
rnacentral:rRNA from 1 species